rnacentral:misc_RNA from 1 species
CCCUGCCCUCCCCGCGCCC